CUUUUCUUCGUUUCCAAUCACAAAACUCAACAUUUUCAAUUCUCCCUUCUGCUGAAGUCCCUCUUAUAGUGAAGUGAUUCUGUAUUUCUCACUUUGGUGCUCAAGUUGAUUAUCAAUNNNNNNNNNUGAAUCGAAUGAUGGUGCUUCAAGCUCAAAGGAAGCUGAGCCUGAGACGCCCCAGAUUCCGCCUUUUAGAAUGCCUACAAUGGAAGAGAUUCGUGCCCAAGAAGUCUGGAACAAUUGUGCUAUUCGCAGUGUUGCAAGUGGAGUGAUGGGAGGUGGGCUAGGGU
rnacentral:misc_RNA from 1 species